UACGAAGGGGGCUAGCGUUGUUCGGAUUUAUUGGGCGUAAAGAGCGUGUAGGCGGCCAAGCAGGUCCGCUGUGAAAACUCGAGGCUCAACCUCGAGACGUCGGUGGAAACCGUUUGGCUAGAGUCCGGAAGAGGAGAGUGGAAUUCCCGGUGUAGCGGUGAAAUGCGCAGAUAUCGGGAAGAACACCCGUGGCGAAGGCGGCUCUCUGGGACGGUACUGACGCUGAGACGCGAAAGCGUGGGGAGCGAACAGG
rnacentral:rRNA from 1 species